AAAGUGGAGCAAUCCAUGAGUAAAGUGGCGCACGGGUGAGUAACACGUGACUAACCUACCCUCGAGUGGGGAAUAACCUCGGGAAACCGGGGCUAACACCGCAUAAUAUCUACGGAUCAAAUGCGUAAGCAGCUUGAGGAGGGGGUCGCGGCUGAUUAGCUAGUUGGCGGGGUAAUGGCCCACCAAGGCAGUGAUCAGUAGCCGGCCUGAGAGGGCGCACGGCCACACUGGAACUGAAACACGGUCCAGACUCCUACGGGAGGCAGCAGUGGGGAAUUUUGCGCAAUGGGGGAAACCCUGACGCAGCAACGCCGCGUGGAGGAUGACGCCCCUUGGGGUGUAAACUCCUUUCGAUCGGGACGAUUAUGACGGUACCGGAAGAAGAAGCACCGGCUAACUCUGUGCCAGCAGCCGCGGUAAUACAGAGGGUGCAAGCGUUGUUCGGAAUUAUUGGGCGUAAAGGGUGCGUAGGCGGUGCGGUAAGUCUUCUGUGAAAUCUCCGGGCUUAACUCGGAGCCUGCAGAGGAAACUGCCGUGCUGGAGUAUGGGAGAGGUGAGUGGAAUUCCCGGUGUAGCGGUGAAAUACGUAGAUAUCGGGAGGAACACCUGUGGCGAAAGCGGCUCACUGGACCAUUACUGACGCUGAUGCACGAAAGCUAGGGGAGCAAACAGGAUUAGAUACCCUGGUAGUCCUAGCCCUAAACGAUGAUCGCUUGGUGUGACAGGUACCCAAUCCUGUCGUGCCGGAGCUAACGCGUUAAGCGAUCCGCCUGGGGAGUACGGUCGCAAGGCUGAAACUC
rnacentral:rRNA from 1 species